rnacentral:rRNA from 1 species
AUUGAACGCUGGCGGCAGGCCUAACACAUGCAAGUCGAGCGGAUGAAGGGAGCUUGCUCCUGGAUUCAGCGGCGGACGGGUGAGUAAUGCCUAGGAAUCUGCCUGGUAGUGGGGGAUAACGUCCGGAAACGGGCGCUAAUACCGCAUACGUCCUGAGGGAGCAAGUGGGGGGUCUUCGGACCUCACGCUAUCAGAUGAGCCUAGGUCGGAUUAGCUAGUUGGUGGGGUAAAGGCCUACCAAGGCGACGAUCCGUAACUGGUCUGAGAGGAUGAUCAGUCACACGGGAACUGGGACACGGUCCAGACUCCUACGGGAGGCAGCAGUGGGGAAUAUUGGACAAUGGGCGAAAGCCUGAUCCAGCCAUGCCGCGUGUGUGAAGAAGGUCUUCGGAUUGUAAAGCACUUUAAGUUGGGAGGAAGGGCAGUAAGUUAAUACCUUGCUGUUUUGACGUUACCAACAGAAUAAGCACCGGCUAACUUCGUG